rnacentral:rRNA from 1 species
UACGGAGGGUGCAAGCGUUAUCCGGAUUUACUGGGUUUAAAGGGUGUGUAGGCGGACUAUUAAGUCAGUGGUGAAAUCCCGAGGCUCAACCUCGGAACUGCCUUUGAUACUAUUAGUCUUGAAUGUUGUUGAGGUGGGCGGAACGGGUCAUGUAGCGGUGAAAUGCAUAGAUAUGACCCGGAACACCGAUUGCGAAGGCAGCCCGCUAAGCAACUAUUGACGCUGAGGCACGAAAGCGUGGGGGAUCAAACAGG